GAAUGCGAAUAUCAAAGUCCGUCUUUAAUGGCGUGGCUCGAUUCGUUCGCUUCCUAUCUUGAGGUAGUGGCUCUCAGGCCUUCACGGGUUUGGGAUGCUUCCGCUCCUCAUCAUUUACUUUGAAAAAAUUCGCGCGCUCAAAGCAAGCGUAACUUUUGCUAUGAAGAUUACAGCAUGGGAUAAUAGAAUACGACCUCGGUCUUAUUUUGUUGGUUUCUAAGGCUGAUGGGUA
rnacentral:rRNA from 1 species